rnacentral:rRNA from 1 species
ACUCAAAUGAAUUGACGGGGGCCCGCACAAGCAGCGGAGCGUGUGGUUUAAUUCGAUGGUACGCGAAGAACCUUACCUGGGUUUGACAUACAGGUAGUAGCGAGGUGAAAGCCGAGCGACCCUUCGGGGAGCCUGAACAGGUGCUGCAUGGCUGUCGUCAGCUCGUGUCGUGAGAUGUUGGGUUAAGUCCCGCAACGAGCGCAACCCCCGUCGUUAGUUACAAGUGUCUAACGAGACUGCUGGUAUCAAACCGGAGGAAGGUGGGGAUGACGUCAAGUCAGCAUGGUCUUUAUAUCCAGGGCUACACACACGCUACAAUGGCCGGUACAAUAGGUUGCCACCUUGCAAAAGGGCGCUAAUCCCCAAAGCCGGUCUCAGUUCAGAUUGUCGUCUGCAACCCGACGGCAUGAAGGCGGAGUUGCUAGUAACCGCGCGUCAGCCAUAGUGCGGUGAAUGCGUUCCCGGGCCUUGUACACACCGCCCGU